rnacentral:rRNA from 1 species
AUACGGGAGCGCAGCGCACAGCUCAGUAACACGUGGCUAAUCUGCCCUUGGGACCGGAACACCCCCGGGAAACUGGGGCUAAUUCUCGAUAGGUGAAGAACUCUGGAAUGAGUCUUUGCUUAAAAGACGUUUACGUUAUGCUCGUAGACGUCGCCCAAGGAUGAGGCCGCGACCGAUCAGGUUGUUGGUGAGGUAAUGGCUCACCAAGCCUUUUACCGGUGCGGGCCGUGAGAGCGGGAGCCCGGAGAUGGGCACUGAGACAAGGGCCCAGGCCCUACGGGGCGCAGCAGUCGCGAAAACUUUGCAAUACACGAAAGUGUGACAGGGCUAUCCCGAGUGCCAUCCGCUGAGGAAGGCUUUUACCCAGUCUAGAACGCUGGGGGAAUAAGGAGAGGGCAAGUCUGGUGUCAGCCGCCGCGGUAAUACCAGCUCUCCGAGUGGUGUGGAUGUUUAUUGGGCCUAAAGCAUCCGUAGCUGGCUGAGUUAGUCCCUUGUUAAAUCCACCGAAUUAAUCGUUGGAUUGCGGGGGAUACUGCUCGGCUAGGGGACGAGAGAGGCAGACGGUAUUUCCGGGGUAGGGGUGAAAUCCUAUAAUCCCGGGAAGACCACCAGUGGCGAAGGCUGUCUGCUAGAACGCGCCCGACGGUGAGGGAUGAAAGCUGGGGGAGCGAACCGGAUUAGAUACCCGGGUAGUCCCAGCUGUAAACGAU